UCUCAUAGAUAAUACAUGUAGGGUGUGU
rnacentral:piRNA from 1 species